CUGCCCUUAACUCUGGGAUAAGCCUGGGAAACUGGGUCUAAUACCGGAUAUGACUCCUCAUCGCAUGGUGGGGGGUGGAAAGCUUUUUGUGGUUUUGGAUGGACUCGCGGCCUAUCAGCUUGUUGGUGAGGUAAUGGCUUACCAAGGCGACGACGGGUAGCCGGCCUGAGAGGGUGACCGGCCACACUGGGACUGAGACACGGCCCAGAAUCAUACGGGAGGCAGCAGUGGGGAAUAUUGCACAAUGGGCGCAAGCCUGAUGCAGCGACGCCGCGUGAGGGAUGACGGCCUUCGGGUUGUAAACCUCUUUCAGUAGGGAAGAAGCGUAAGUGACGGUACCUGCAGAAGAAGCGCCGGCUAACUACGUGCCAGCAGCCGCGGUAAUACGUAGGGCGCAAGCGUUAUCCGGAAUUAUUGGGCGUAAAGAGCUCGUAGGCGGUUUGUCGCGUCUGCCGUGAAAGUCCGGGGCUCAACUCCGGAUCUGCGGUGGGUACGGGCAGACUAGAGUGAUGUAGGGGAGACUGGAAUUCCUG
rnacentral:rRNA from 1 species